AUGGCAACCGGCUGCCGAGUGGGCGGCGCGGACUUCAGUUUAAACUCACGGCGGAAACAAUGCAGAGAAACGCCCAGCAGGCCCCCUUCGGUCGUGGCUGACCAUAGUGUCUCCAGGGUGCUAUUCCCUAUAUGGAGGAUGCCAGUGGGUGACUUUGUUUAACGUGGGGAGACUGGUGCACAGACAGCCACCCCACGGUCCUUGACAAAUCUGGUUCAGGAUCCAGUGGCAUGGAGUCCAAGACGACCGGAGACCCUUUUCUGCUGCAAUCUUCAUCCGCCUUGCCAGCCGUCGUGACGCUCCACUAAGGUCAGCUAUCGUACUCCGCCUGUUCCACCGUUGAGGUCUUGGUUGGAUUGUUCUUUGUCGGGCAGCUCGUGCUGUUUGAUGGUUGUGCCCUUGUCAAACCGGAGCAGGACACAUCAGGAACAAGAUUAUUUACCAUUCUUACCCCGCACACAAUUCCGUCAACAUGACAAUAAAACAUGAUCAUAAUUCAUAAACUAAUGUGAAACCAUUUUAGAUCUCCAAUUACAGUAUAUUCGGGUUUGACUUUAACUCCGAGGGAUCCCCUUGAAACAUGUGUAUUUCCUAAUACUAUUGAUGUGUUCGUGUUAUUUUGCAAAUUGUGAACUUUUCUUUUUAUGAAGUCUCUGCUAAGCAUUGAAUCACUUUUUAACAGCAGCUGUUUUCUGCAGUGACCUGCUCCCUUCAUUCCCAAAAGCCCUGAUCAUAUCUAAAGUGGGGAAGCAUCCAGGGCCUAAUUAGCUCAGAGAUCACCAAACGCACUGGCAACCGAGAGAAGGAACAAAACUAGUAGAAUAUAGAUGAGUUCAUUGAACAAACUCACAUGCUCUCCAAAGUGAUUCCUUUGUUUCUGAAUGUUAUUAUAACUUGAAUUUUAAUAACUGAAGUACUGUUAGCUUUAAUAAAUUUGGCACAGAUAUCUAGGAUUAUUAAACUGUUUAAAAUACAAAUUUUAAAGAGUUAAUCACAAUUGAAUGUAAGGAUAUUUUGUUUCUUUAAAUCAAGGUAAAACAGAACCGGGGUAUUUUUGGUUUUUAAAUAUGUAUGUCAAGAGAUAUAAGUAAUCUCACAGUCACAUGUCACAUGUGAUAAUAAAGUAUCAUUGAUUCAUUCAAACU